rnacentral:rRNA from 1 species
UACGAAGGGGGCUAGCGUUGUUCGGAAUCACUGGGCGUAAAGCGCACGCAGGCGGAUCGAUAAGUCGGGGGUGAAAGCCCGGGGCUCAACCUCGGAAUUGCCUUCGAUACUGUCGGUCUCGAGUCCGGGAGAGGUGAGUGGAAUUCCUAGUGUAGAGGUGAAAUUCGUAGAUAUUAGGAAGAACACCAGUGGCGAAGGCGGCUCACGGGACCGGUACUGACGUUCAGGUGCGAAAGCGUGGGGAGCAAACAGG